ACCUCCACCAGCUCCACCCAGCUUUUGCAGGGGCUUGAAGCAGAUACAUUGACUGGGGAACCCAUCUUGAGGCUGAUAUUGAUGGAAAUGGAGUUCUGGACUAUGGAGAGUUUGUAGCAGUGACGAUACACUUGCAGAG